UCCCGUCUAGCUCAGUCGGUAGAGCACGAGACUCUUAAUCUCGGGGUCGUAGGUUCGAGCCCCAAGUUGGGCG
rnacentral:tRNA from 1 species